UCGAGCGGUAGAGAGAAGCUUGCUUCUCUUGAGAGCGGCGGACGGGUGAGUAAUGCCUAGGAAUCUGCCUGGUAGUGGGGGAUAACGUUCGGAAACGGACGCUAAUACCGCAUACGUCCUACGGGAGAAAGCAGGGGACCUUCGGGCCUUGCGCUAUCAGAUGAGCCUAGGUCGGAUUAGCUAGUUGGUGAGGUAAUGGCUCACCAAGGCGACGAUCCGUAACUGGUCUGAGAGGAUGAUCAGUCACACUGGAACUGAGACACGGUCCAGACUCCUACGGGAGGCAGCAGUGGGGAAUAUUGGACAAUGGGCGAAAGCCUGAUCCAGCCAUGCCGCGUGUGUGAAGAAGGUCUUCGGAUUGUAAAGCACUUUAAGUUGGGAGGAAGGGCAGUAAAUUAAUACUUUGCUGUUUUGACGUUACCGACAGAAUAAGCACCGGCUAACUCUGUGCCAGCAGCCGCGGUAAU
rnacentral:rRNA from 1 species